rnacentral:tRNA from 1 species
AGCCAAGGUGGCAGAAUGUUAUGCGCUAGAUUUAAGCUUUAGAUAUAAGGGGUUCCUUUCUUGGU